rnacentral:lncRNA from 1 species
CACACAACAACCAAACCACCACUGCUCUGUUUCCUGUUGCGGCGCAGGAGUCAUAGCAAGAACCAACGAGCCACCCCCCGCCUCUGUCACGAACCAACCACCAUCCGGAGUCGCCUCUAGCUUCGCUCGCCGGAGCCAUAUGAUGAAAAUGAGAUUGCUGCCUUGCCUUCUCUUCCGGGUGACUUGGAAUUCCUGAAGACUGGCUUGAAUGUAGAAACUAUUAAGCAUUAUUGGGAAUUGUUAUGAAUGUAAAAACCUCCGUCUUCACUAUUCAGAUUGCACAUUCAAAGGACUUGAUAUGAUAUCACACCUUAUCAGGCACCGAAGUUGAAUGCAACACAAGAAAAGAAGGAAGAAGGGGAGGCGUCAAACACAGCUCAAGGCGAAGGUGAAGAAGAUGAGAAAGCUGAGGGUGCAGCGGUCGCGGCUCCUCGUAGAAUGACAAGACGCGACAUCUAAUUAGCAUUAUGUCUGUAAUCGAAGCUGGGUUAAUCACUCCCCUGAUCCAUCUCCUUGAGACUGCUGAAUUUGAUAUAAAGAAAGAAGCUGCAUAGGCGAUUGCAAAUGCCAAUUCUGGCGGCACUAAUGAACAGAUCAACUUAAUAGUUUAUAAGAACCACUGCCCUUUGAAAUCACGUGUCCAGCAAAGGAACAAGAAGCUUUGAUCAUUUGAGGUAACAAAGAAUCAGGAGGUUGGAAAGCUAUCUACGGACGGAGCACGGGUUCGAAGCAGGUCGCAAGGUCGCACGCAGAGCGUAUCCAGCAAUCGGAAGUAGAUACAUCCGUGUCAAGAAACUGGGCAUGAAGAACCGAUGAGGCAGUUGGGGCUGUGCGGCGUGAGAGGAGAGUUUUAUCCGGCGUGACCAGAAAUGGUGGAUUGUGGUUACUAUGGGUGAGAAAGCCAUGGUCUAGGUAUGAACUCUGUCCGAAGAUUCGAAAAGUAGAUGACUACAUGGAAAACCAUAUCUUAUUAUGAAGCAUCAGUUGCAGGGAAUGAAAAAGUGGUGUUUAUGCAGUCUACCUACAUGUUUAAUUAUCGAGUGGGUUAUUGCUACAAUUCAUAGAUUCUGGAUGAUAACUUAGGUGGCAAGAUCGACAGGCCAGACAGGUCGAGUAAAGGGUCAUAUUUAAGUGCAGAAAAUGGUGGAGUCGGAAAUGGUGGAGCGGUGCUGGGUCGAUUAAGGCGCACGUGGUUGGUUCCGAUGACCCUUGAUUCAUAUAUCUGGUUGUAGGUCAAGUUAUGGAUAGAUAUGGUGAUUGAUAGUUGAUGUUUCUGUUGAAAUGGGUGUUUUUCGGCGAAUGGUGAGAUAAGUAGGUUCAAAGUGACUAUGGUGAGGUUUUCGGGUGACCAACCAACAUUUCAGUAAAAAAGAUUUAACUCGGGUCAGCGGACGGUCAUCAGGAAUGUAUAAAUGUACGCUCAAGUCGUUUAGAUAAUUUAAUGUAAUUAUCAUCAACCUCUGUUCAACGAGGUGCGUUAAGGCUGUACACUGUUGAAGCCGAGAGAAAAGGGAAAGGCUAUAGCUGAUACGGGCGUUAUUCAGCUGCAGCAAAGAGGGCACUAGCGCUUGAUGGGUCGGAUAUGCGAGUGACUCAACUAUGUCUUCCACAGAGCAUUCCUAAGUGUACACAGUUAUUUUUUUUCAUUAUUAUUAUUAUUGCAGAAAAUGGAGUAAUAAUGACAUGGGGAUGGGGCGACCGAUGAUUUCUCUUUCUUUUGAUCGAGUUUCUAGGGGAAAUCUCUUAUGUAUCUGUUAUCGAUUGGAUGAGAUGUGGGUUUGACUUGAAUAAAACUCUAUAUGUUAUUGUUUAUGAUUGACUUUUAUUUAUGC